UCCUUAGAAACUGCAGGAGUUGUGUGAAACGACAGGACGGUCGAAGGUACGUGCGCGAUUGCGAUGUGACCUACACGUUAAACGGAUGUCUGAAGAAUACGGAUCUGCAGCAAAGUGCCUGCUACUGCGACACAGACCACUGUAAUGGUGCCAUUAGCUGGGCACACGUGACCGGAAACCACGUGAUUAUUCUUGUGGUCACCACGGUGAUGACGUUUUUCGGGUUAUGAACUGUGGCGCAUUCGCAGUAUACGGUCUCUAGUCAAAUUUUUCAAAUAGUUACUGACUUUUUAAAUAAAUUCUUUUUAGAAAUUAUGGCAUAGUUAAGCAGAAAUGUAUUAGCAUGUAACGACGCACCAUAUAUGAAUUGUUCAUUUUGUACAUGAAAUAACAUUUCAAAAGCAACGUUUCUAUGUUUCAUUUUUUUUUUGUUUAUUCUCAUAUUUUCAUUAAAAUUCGAAAUAAUUAAAUUAUUUGUUAACGUGCCAUUGAACAAUUCUAACGCAUUGAACCACUUUAAAAGGCUUAUCAGGAACGACACUUUCCGCUUUUAUGGAAGUUUUUUUUCCAUUCAAUUGAACUAUUCUCAACUAAAAUCGAGUUUAGGCGGACAUCACACGCUAAUCUGUGAUGACACUACGUAUAUGCAUUAAGCCCAGUUUUCGCAUAACGCGGCUAAUCUUUUAACGGUAUUGGGCGCUUUUGAAACUAACACGUUGUCGCUUUUAUUGUUUUCUUCUCUGUGAAAUAGACAUUAUUCCUUUUCAUUAAAAUGUGGCCCGUUUUAAAAUGCAUUAAAUAAUUUCGGUAGACUGGUGCUUUAAGUCGCCAAUCACGAACUUAACUGGAUUCCCGUUCCAUAAUAUAUUUUAUAUAAAUUUUGUAUAGUUAUGUUUGGUUUUCGAAUGAAGACUUCACACUCAUAUUCUUGUCUCUCAAGCUUUAUUAUAUUAAAACAAUUUAUACAAGAAAAUAUAACUGAAAUACAACACACAACUUGUUAAUUUUGAUUGGCAAUAGCAAAUAAAUAACGACUGGGUGUUCCGUUACAAAGGAAUAAAACAACGACGGCGUUAUCUUCUAUACGUCACAUUUGUUAAUUAAAUCUGAAUUAAUAACGCUAGUAACGUUGUUGGUAAUAUUUAUUAAGACAUUAAACACUAUUAUUUUGUUAUGAAUAUACAGACAAAAAGAACAAAGUUUCAAUUCGAUGCCAGAAUGAAUGAUAAACUGUAAGAUGUUGAGCUAUAUAUCCAAACGAACAAACUGACAAGCGUUGUGCAAAAAAAAAACUGAAAUUUUAAUAUAUACAACUAAAGCCUGGUACUCCAACGAUACCCUCGUAAUUUGUAUUUGAUUAUUUU